CAAGAAGGCAGAGAAGCAGGCAGAGAGAGAGAGGAGGAUGCAGGCUCCCUGCUGAGCAGAGAGCCCGAGCCUCAAGUUUUCUUAACUGCAGAAGGAAAAGCAGCAAAGGGUUCUCUUCCUGUUGGGAUUAUGCCACAUACCGGUUUUCAGUAUUUGCUUAAGAUGUGGCUGCUGAUGAGUCAGAGGAGAGGAAAGAGACUCCAAAAUGUGAGAAAACAAGACCAAAUGACUUAAUAUGACUGGAUACUGCCGACCAGCGUUAGAGGUGAAACACCAUCUAAAGCUGCGACUUUUUGGUAUGUAUUUGCCUUACUUUAAACCUCAGGAAUGGGGAAGACCUAAGUGUUA
rnacentral:lncRNA from 1 species